GCGGGAAUAGCUCAGUUGGUAGAGCGCAACCUUGCCAAGGUUGAUGUCGCGAGUUCGAGUCUCGUUUCCCGCUCAA
rnacentral:tRNA from 1 species